rnacentral:rRNA from 1 species
CCCUUAGAUGUUCUGGGCUGCACGCGCGCUACACUGACGCACGCAACAGGUGCCUGCUCCGAGAGGACUGGGUAAUCAUUUGAGUGUGCGUCGUGAUGGGGAUAGAAUAUUGUAAUUAUUACUCUUCAACGAGGAAUUCCUAGUAAGCGCCAGUCAGCAGCUUGCGCUGAUUACGUCCCUGCCCUUUGUACACACCGCCCGUCGCACCUACCGAUUGGAUGGUCCGGUGAAGCCUCGGGAUUGUGGUUCUUGCCGCUUUAUUGUGGCGUGACCGCGAGAACUUGUCUAAACCUUAUCAUCUAGAGGAAGGUGAAGUCGUAACA